GCCAUGAUGAUAACAGCAAAGAAUCAGUGUAGAUUACUAGAAAUCAUAUUUGCUUUUAAGGUGGUCCAUAUCUGGUUACAGCAAAUUUACCCCUAAGUAUAUACCUAAGAACCUAUAAAGGAGAAAAUCUCCCCACUGCUACUUCGUUGGACUAGCUCUUUUCUGGAAAAUAAAGCAGAAGUCAGAGGAAACAAGCACAUAACCAGGCAGAAGUCAGUGGGAAGACACAGACCCUUGAACAACAUGGUUUGAACUUCAUGGAUUCAUUUAUAUGCAGAGUUUUUUCUACCUCUGCCACCCAUGUGACAACAAAGUGAUUCCUCCUCUUCCUCCUCUUCAUCAGCCUACUCAAGAAAGUCAGUAAAGAGAGAGACGGACAUCAUUGAAGUACCACAAAAACCCCAUACAGAUAAAAGUCCCUCAUUUUGUACAUGAGCAUACCAUCUUCAGACCAAGAAUCUGAGCCCCAGAAACAUGCAGUAACCUGCCCAGAAAAAAUUCAGCAAGUAAAAUGCUUAUUCAGCAAUGGAUCUAAAGUCUGGGCCCCAAAGCCUAUCCCUGUAGUCAAAAUCCAAGUUUCAAUUCUCUCAAGUUGCUGUUAGAUUCCAGGAUCCUCAUAUUGUGUAUUUGACCACUGAGAAGAAAUUGCUGGUUUAUUUAUUUCAUCUAGACUCUUUCCAGAAAUGCCUGUGAAAACUAGAGAAAAUGUAAAUAAAUAGCCCCAAUAUUCUCCUCAGCUGCCUACCAGCCUUUUGCCAUUUCUCUUAAAGACUCUGAAACUUGCACUCCCUGAGACACACAGAGGAGAGGCAUUAAUCUCAGAAUGGAUGAAUGCAAGCCAGAUCCUCUCCCUUUUGCCUUAAGAGUGCAGCAGAACAAACACAAUUUUAGGAAUCCAGUAAAUUCAGAUUUAAAUCCAACUCCCCAUGUACUGACUUGUGAUCAUUGACCAUUCACUGACACCUCUGAAUCAUUUUUAUUAUCUGAUAAAAGAAAGAUAAUACUGCAUUUUUUAUUGGAUGGUGGUGAGGAUUACAUAAACUUAAGUGAGUAAGGCCCCUAGCACAAGUCAAGUACCAGAAAAAUACGUCAGUAGCCCCUAUCAGAUCGGGUGAUUACCACCUUGGAAAACACAAUUUGCUUUUGGCUUGUCUCAGUCAAAUCAUGGGCUUCAGACAGAAGUCAUCCUCUUCUUUCUAAAUAAUUCAAAAUGAAAAGCCCGAGCGUUUGUUUCCCUGACCUUAUUUCAGGGAUAUUCUGAAAUGCUGAAGCUGGGUGACCAUACAUAAAUGACAGCAUUCAUUCUGAAAAUAAACGUGACUUUGCAAAGACCACUAAUGUGGUCAGAGCAGAACUGGUGUGGCCAACUAAAGGGUGACAUCCAUUUCUCAGAAAGUAUCAGACUGGAUGUAUCCUAAUUUGGACUUCAUCUUUCAUCUCUUUUCAGGAGGGUGAGAAGGAGAGUCUGGUGAAGUCAUUCCUUUUUGCCCAAUCAUGUUUUGCUUACCUCACUCACUCCAGGGAAAACAAACAAACAAAUAAAAACAUCAGUUUUCUUAGCCAGCUCACACUUCAAAUAAAGAAAGUAUGAAGAAGGGAACGGUACUUAUAGUGCCAAAUUGGUCAUACCAUGUCAUCGUGGAGGUGUAAUGACCUCCAUAGAUUACAUCUAUGGUUGUAAUCUAAUGCAAAAAAUGAAUGGGUGAAAAACUAAUAUUUGUAAAUGAGUGAUAACAGGGUAGACAGUAAAACAAAGGAAUGUAAACCUUUCUUUAAUAACAGAGAGCAAUGGUUUUGUUCAGGAAAC